CCUACGGGAGGCAGCAGUGGGGAAUUUUCCGCAAUGGGCGAAAGCCUGACGGAGCAAUACCGCGUGAGGGAGGAAGGCUCUUGGGUCGUAAACCUCUUUUCUCAGGGAAGAAGAAAGUGACGGUACCUGAGGAAUAAGCAUCGGCUAACUCCGUGCCAGCAGCCGCGGUAAUACGGAGGAUGCAAGCGUUAUCCGGAAUGAUUGGGCGUAAAGGGUCCGCAGGUGGCUGUGUAAGUCUGCUGUUAAAGAGUCAUGCUUAACAUGAUAAGAGCAGUGGAAACUACAUAGCUAGAGUACGUUCGGGGCAGAGGGAAUUCCUGGUGUAGCGGUGAAAUGCGUAGAUAUCAGGAAGAACACCGGUGGCGAAAGCGCUCUGCUAGGCCGUAACUGACACUGAGGGACGAAAGCUAGGGGAGCGAAUGGGAUUAGAUACCCCAGUAGUCCUAGCCGUAAACGAUGGAUACUAGGCGUGGCUUGUAUCGACCCGAGCCGUGCCGUAGCUAACGCGUUAAGUAUCCCGCCUGGGGAGUACGCACGCAAGUGUGAAACUCAAAGGAAUUGACGGCUGAGACGNGCGAGCGACGACGAGGGAGAGG
rnacentral:rRNA from 1 species